CCAAACAAGGCUCUGCCUCCUAAGGGUUCCACAAGCUCCCCAAACAGAGCAAUGAGGUAGGGAGCAAGUCCUUAAAAUCCUGAGCCUAUGAGAACACUACUCAUCCUCUACCCACAGCAGUGUCUUUAUUAAGAGUAGCCAGAGGGUUCGUUUUCCUCUCGUUCCUCUUCCAUCCAUACUAUUCAGGAAAGGCCAUGUGAAGACUCAGCAAGCAGGCAGUCAUCUGAAGACCAGGAAGACAGACCUCAGUAGAAAGGAAUCUGCUAUAGACUUAACUGUGGAUUUCUAUCUCCCAGAACCGCAAGGGGAUCCAUGUACGCUGCCCAAGAUCCCUGGUUUAUGGGGUUUUUUUUUUGUUUUUUUUUUCUUACAUUGCCUGAGCAGGCUGAUACCAUGGAUUAGAUUAUUGUUACUUAUUUCUACACAGUGAGAUCACAGGUCAGCAGGGGUAGCUUCCAGAGAACACUGCUCACUCCUUCCCCGUGUUUCUCAAUGCACUACCUAGGACAUACUGUACAUAGGAGUCUGAGAACUUCAUGUAGCACCUCUGUCGAUCAUAACUAUCUUUCUUCCAGCCUCCUUUAACAGGUAGUACACUAAAUAAUACUCCUGAGACGGUCAUAGUUAACAUUGAAGUAGGCCCUUUGCAAGAGAGCUAGAGACAGGUGUCUUGUAGUGUGAAUUAAACAAGCGCCAGGGAGAUCAUCCUUCUCAAAAUGAGAUAGGCUCAACCCCAAACACCUUUCCCCUUCCCUCCUGUCAAUCUCAAAUACCCCAACAGCUACACUUUUAUGAAAUCAUCGAUCACUUUCUAAAAACUUGAAUUGCCGUAGAUUUCUAAACAACCAUGCCUUCCAUUGUUUCCGCUCCACAGAUGCAGAAUAUUAUAAAGUUAUUAGAGUCUAUUUUCCAUAAAACACAGCCUUUAUGUUUUCACCAUCCGGAUGUUCUCUGGAUCCCAGGCAUGGAUGUACUGGUGUACUAACUCCACGGCUCACUGGAGAUUAUGUAACAUUUUAGAAAUGGGAUGAAGGAGAAACAGGAGCGGGGUGCUGGCUACCACGUCGACUGCCGCUCAACACAACUACAGCUAGUGUGACCACAGCUGCAGUCUUUGUACCCAGCUCCCAUAUCCUAAAUCCAUCAGCCACAGCGACUAUGCUUAAAAAGACUAUCUCUGUCCAGAUGUCUCCAAACGACGACCAACUGCUUACAGUGUCUUAAUUCCUUCCAAAUGAUGGCUGCCUUGGCUCUUCUCUGACUGACUGGUACCAGUUCAUUUUGACUGCCUCACGACUACUAUUAGAAAAACCUACCCAGCAAACCUACCCUGUCUUACAGCCAGAGGAACAGCCCAGGUGCACAGCUCCCAUCAGGGUUCCCAGGUGAAGAGUGUCCCUCCCACUUUCAAUAGUGUCCUUCCUAAUUUGGCUGUCACUUCUCACCGCCUAGACUUUCUACUGCAUGAAGGAAACAGCACCCCAUAGUUCCGCACCUUCUCACUUAGGGGCUGCCUCCCUGCACUGGAGUAUGGUGUGUAUCUUCCAGACAGAUCCUGAACUUUUCCUAAGCGCUCUACUGAGGACUCACCUUCUCCUGGAACUUUUGUGGAUAGACACUCCCUCCACCCAAAGAUCUCUCAGCAGUCAUAUAAAUAACUCACUGUAACUUUAAUUGGCUCGGUUUAUAAGCUGGGGCCUCUAUCUUUUCUCCCUCCAGGUAUUUUUUUUCCACGUGUUUGUGCUAUCUCCAUUAAUUUGUAAAUUCCCAGGAGGCAGGGCCUGAACACAGCCUGGUGCUGUCAUAAAGGGUAUGUGUGCCAGGAAGAAUGAAUGGGAGACCCCGCCUUUUCUUUAUUACUAACCUGGUUUGUUUCUGAUUUUCAAAAUAGCUUUCCUUAGUGAUGAUUCUGAGGCUGAAAACAUAAGAAAUAUACAUCUAAGUUGAGCUAGUGUCUGGGUAAAUACAGUAAAACUGAGAGCUUUCCAUAACGUAAGGGGGAGGAUGUGCAGGUAUUUUGACCCAAAGGGGAAUCUGUAGUGUGUUAUUAUAGUUUAUACCAUCUUGGGAUUUGUAUUCUUGUCUCUUGAAGGCUGCAGGAAUAUCUCAGAAAGAAAAUAAUAUCUGCUUCCAAAGCUGAGAUCUAAAAACUGAACAGAGCCUGGGGAAACAUCCAAACGAUCUUAUUACAAGUUUGUUCUGAGUGGAAGGAAAAAGAAUGUAAUCUGGGAGACCUCCUUCUCUGAUUCAAACAGCAAACGUAGCACAGUUCUGAGACAAAGAUUCCUAGCUGGGAGAGCCCUUUUCAGCUCAGGUGAGAAAGGGAGCCCCAAAGGUCCUUUUCCAGGACCGGCUAGAGCCAGGAUUCCGUCCUUUGGCCACCUGCUGCGCUGCCUCCUAGCAGCACCCACAGAGGAGACUAUCUUGACUGUCACCAGGCACCAAGCUCAAGAUGCUCAGCGGGAGAGAUAAGGUCAGAGUACCCACAGGACCCUACGUCUCCCAAGGGGCGCAACAAAGACUCUUACUUGGCCUGCUGGAUGGAGAGAAAGAGGCCCCUUGGAAUCUCUCUGCCUUCCCAGUCUAGAGCCAUCAUUGGGAUCCCCAUUGUUCAAGGAUUUUUGACAGUUCAAGCUGAAGUUUACCAGUUACCGGGCUGGACGGGUUCACUCAUCCAAUUCCGUUUAUUUGCUAUUUGAGGAUCUACUAUUUACUGUGUCACAAAACAAACCGAAACCAACUACUUAACAUUUAACAUAGCUGCCUUUCCCUGCAUUUUGGUAUGGAAAAAAAAAAAAACGCAUUUAGACAAUUCAGAAAACUUACCAGGAAAGUGUUCUUAUAUUAACUAUCUCAGAGAGAAGUUUUAAUACUGGUUUGUUGCUCAAGAAAACACAGUAAAAUGACAAAUCAAAACCAGAUAUGCAGUUUUCUCAAACGCUCUUAGCAUUGCUGUAUCUUGGAGACAUCCUGGGUUCAUGGAUACAUUUCUGUUGUCUUCAGCAAAUAUUGAGUUAAAAAUUUCUCUCUGGCACUUAACUUUUUUUUCUUCUCUUUCUGUUUCAAGUAACAAAAACUCGACUUCUGAAGACUUUUUGUUUUUAAUCUUAACACAUUAUCUAUGUCUGCAUGUUUAUCUUUUGGUUCAAACAGCUCGGCUGGGGGAGGGGAACUACAUUAUAUGUUUUAUGAAUCCUACCCAUUGGGUAUUUCAUUUAAUAAAAUAGAAGACAUCUUACUGGAA